CUCCCCACGCCUCAUGUCUCCAUCCUUUGUCUGGUUCUCUUCCCCCACCCCCUUCCAGGCCAUUCCCCUGGUUUCCGAGGAGCCACCUGAAGUCAGAUCCCACCUGCACCCCCUUUGCUCAAAAACAAUCCAAAAUUGUUCCAUCCUCUUGCCUGGCCUGGUGGGAGCUGCAUCUCCCUCUGGCUUCCCUCCUCUCCCUGCCAGUUUUGCCCCCACUUCUCAGCCUCAUGACCCUUUGUUAUAGCCACUGUGCAUUUUCCACUGUCACCCCAGAUCCACCCUGACUUGCUGACUUUUGUCCAAGCUGCCCUUCCACCUGGAGGGCCCUUUCUCUGCCACUCCGCCUGGGGACAUCCACCCAGCUUUUCAAAAGCUAUCUCCUCCCUGGAUAUGUCCUCAUGGACUCUCUGUCUCUCUGUCUCUCUGUCUCUGUCUCUCUCACACACACACACACACACGCAUGCACACAUGCACAUGCACACACACGCACACAUGCGCACAGGGGCUGGUCUCCCAUCCGGGCCCUCCCGAAGCGCAUUGUUACAUAACAUUGUCUCUCACUCUUUACAUUGUGUCACAGUCUCUGCAGACUAAUUUCCUCCCCUGAACCCCAAACAGUUGCAGGUACAGCUCACCACGCACCUGGCUGCUCUCGCCCCACAAAACUGUGCACGCAGACGCACUCCAGAAACGCCGCAGCACAUUGAUGCCCACGUGCAUAAACCUAGCUCCCUAUUCACCUGACCUAAGAGCCUUCCUGAAACUCACCUGUCCCCCUCAGAUACUGCCCAAGGCCCACGGAACCCACAAGAGCUCCACUGCUAAACCCGUCCCGUUUCCAUGUUUAGAAGUGCACAGCGGGUGAUAUUCUGAGGCGAGCGUCCUCCAGGAGAAUGCAUAAGUGCGUGCGUACCGGCUGAUUCUCUGUCCCCCCCAGGUCCAAAGUGUCCCCCCAGCAUGCUUCAUAACCCAAGAGACAGGAGAGACAGAGAGAGAGAGAGAGAGAGAGAGAGAAAGGUGCAAGCAAGUAGUCUUGACGAUAAGGAGUCACAGACAAGCAGUGCAGUGGUUAAGUCCCAGCCAAACAAUCUUUCUCGAAGUCCGUGGAAGAAGGUUGAAAGCAUGCAUUACCUGUUAGGCUCUGAAACAGGGGCACACAGUUCAGGGGUACUAAAAAGGGUUUUCUUGAGGGUGUCUGAACUCAGAACAUGCUCCCUGAGUUUUCCUUCUGCCCUGGCCCUGAGGCUCCUGGCUCCUCUGCCAGGCAGUUCUGAAAUGCUUUCCUUUGAAGCAGGGAGUUUAUUUCGGGCCCACCGCAUGACCCGCGAUGGCAAGCCAAACUAUAAGAUGUUGUGCAUCUCGAAUGUCCUGUUUGGAGAUCGCCCGGGGGAGGCCGCCCGCCGCCCGCAGCCCCUCCACGGUGCGUCAAUUAGGGACCUCGCGGCAGAGAGCAUCUCGGAGCACGGCCCUCACGUGACGUCCUCAUCCGUGAUCCUUGACACGGAGGCCAUAUAUGGCCACAGCCACCCACCGCCCCCGGCCACCCUGCCCCGUGUAACGGGGAAUCCGCAUGUUGGAGCAGAACAAGGAACUAACUCCACAACGUUACGGAGGUAG
rnacentral:lncRNA from 1 species